rnacentral:rRNA from 36 species
AAUCCCGUGAACCAUCGAGUCUUUGAACGCAAGUUGCGCCCCAAGCCUUCUGGCCGAGGGCACGUCUGCCUGGGUGUCACAAAUCGUCGUCCCCAUCCUUUGCGGAUAAGGGACGGAAGUUGGUCUCCCGUGUGUUACCGCACGCGGUUGGCCUAAAUCUGAG